rnacentral:rRNA from 1 species
CAAAUCGGAUUAGAUACCCUGGUAGUCCACGCCCUAAACGAUGUCGACUAGUUGUCGGGCCUUUACAGGCUCGGUAACGCAGCUAACGCGUGAAGUCGACCGCCUGGGGAGUACGGUCGCAAGAUUAAAGCUCAAAGGAAUUGACGGGGACCCGCACAAGCGGUGGAUGAUGUGGAUUAAUUCGAUGCAACGCGAAAAACCUUACCUACCCUUGACAUGGCAGGAACGGGGCAGAGAUGUCCCGGUGCCCGAAAGGGAACCUGCACACAGGUGCUGCAUGGCUGUCGUCAGCUCGUGUCGUGAGAUGUUGGGUUAAGUCCCGCAACGAGCGCAACCCUUGCCACUAGUUGCUACGAAAGGGCACUCUAGUGGGACUGCCGGUGACAAACCGGAGGAAGGUGGGGAUGACGUCAAGUCCUCAUGGCCCUUAUGGGUAGGGCUUCACACGUCAUACAAUGGCCGGUACAGAGGGCAGCCAACCCGCGAGGGGGAGCCAAUCCCAGAAAACCGGUCGUAGUCCGGAUUGCAGUCUGCAACUCGACUGCAUGAAGUCGGAAUCGCUAGUAAUCGCGGAUCAGCAUGUCGCGGUGAAUACGUUCCCGGGUCUUGUACACACCGCCCGUCACACCAUGGGAGUGGGUUUCACCAGAAGCCGUUUGCCUAACCGCAAGGAGGGCGGCGACCACGGUGAGAUUCAUGACUGGGGUGAAGUCGUAACAAGGUAACCGUA